AAUGAUUAUACAAUUUAUUUUCAUGAUUUCGUUUUAUAAAUUUGGUUCUCUUCCUCUGUCUACCACUCAGAAACACAACUGGUUUAGGGAUUUUAGUUCAAUUCUUCCCUCGGUGACUGAAAUGGAAACAAAGUUUAGAGCAUGUGGGAUUCACCCAAUUUGCAUUCCUUCCAAACUUGCGUUCUUCAAGCUGACAGGAUAUUGAAGCAGAUGAUUAUUAUGUCAGAAAAUAGCAGUGACAAUUUAGUAUCAACUCUGAUCUUUGGAGUUCUAUGUUUGUCGCCUGAUUUUCAAAAGUACAUGAACUCUGAUCUUUGGAUAAUUCUUCUAAUUUAUCAAAUUUGAAUCAAUUUUAACAAAUUGAUGUGUGAAAAAAGAUGUGUUUAAAUACGUUAAUGUUCAAGUAAAAGGAGUGGUAGUUAAUAAAAUGCCCU